CUGCACACACUCUCCAUUUAGCUACCUUCUAUUCUGCUCUGGGACUGGUCGUCCCCUCAAGCGUUUGCCUUCUUGUGCCACGCUAGAGGAGGAGGAGGGGACUGGUGUUUAACGUCCCGUCGACAAUGAGUCAUUAGAGAUUAGAUGGGCCACGGUAGAAGUUGAAUACCCAUAGGUUGAAGUUUUUACUUUUGUAUCGUAAUACCGCACGUUCCUGUCGCGCUAUGAUACCGCAGAUGCUUUUAGUAAAAGAAUACAUCAAAGUGCUUCAAUUCCGUUUCUUAAGCCACAUAUGUUAACAGAGAUCCAAGCUAUGUGUUACAAUGGUUAAAAUACUAGUAUCCUAUUUGGCUGAAGCGCAGUUCAGAUUGCCGUCUGCUCUUUCCUCGUCGUCCUGCUGGUGGCGGCCGUGUUCGCCCAGAAGGCCAAGGAGACCCUGAAGGGCGCCGAGGCCUACUACGCCUACGCCGCCCCCUACGCCUACAGCGCCUUCGGCUACCCCGCCGUCAGCGCCUACUCCGCCUUCCCCUAUGCUGCCGCUGGCUACCCCUACUACUACCGAUGAACACGAACACGUCGUUGGAGAAGUUAUGGCUGUAAUAGGGGACUUUACAAAAAAUAAAAUUUGUAUAUAGCAAAAUUAAA